GACGUAGGAGGCGAGCGUUGUCCGGAGUUACUGGGCGUAAAGCGCGCGCGGGCGGUCGCGCAGGUCGCCUGUGAAAGCCCCCGGCUCAACCGGGCGGAGGCGGGCGAAACCGCGCGACUGGAGGGCGGCAGAGGGUGGUGGAAUUCCACGUGUAGCAGUGAAAUGCGUAGAGAUGUGGAGGAAUACCGAUGGCGAAGGCAGCCCCCUGGGCCAAUACUGACGCUCAUGCGCGAAAGCGUGGGGAGCAAACAGG
rnacentral:rRNA from 1 species